rnacentral:rRNA from 1 species
AUGGAUCCGCGCUGCAUUAGCUAGUUGGUAAGGUAACGGCUUACCAAGGCAACGAUGCAUAGCCGACCUGAGAGGGUGAUCGGCCACACUGGAACUGAGACACGGUCCAGACUCCUACGGGAGGCAGCAGUAGGGAAUCUUCCGCAAUGGGCGAAAGCCUGACGGAGCAACGCCGCGUGAGUGAUGAAGGUCUUCGGAUCGUAAAACUCUGUUAUUAGGGAAGAACAUAUGUGUAAGUAACUGUGCACAUCUUGACGGUACCUAAUCAGAAAGCCACGGCUAACUACGUGCCAGCAGCCGCGGUAAUACGUAGGUGGCAAGCGUUAUCCGGAAUUAUUGGGCGUAAAGCGCGCGUAGGCGGUUUUUUAAGUCUGAUGUGAAAGCCCACGGCUCAACCGUGGAGGGUCAUUGGAAACUGGAAAACUUGAGUGCAGAAGAGGAAAGUGGAAUUCCAUGUGUAGCGGUGAAAUGCGCAGAGAUAUGGAGGAACACCAGUGGCGAAGGCGACUUUCUGGUCUGUAACUGACGCUGAUGUGCGAAAGCGUGGGGAUCAAACAGGAUUAGAUACCCUGGUAGUCCACGCCGUAAACGAUGAGUGCUAAGUGUUAGGGGGUUUCCGCCCCUUAGUGCUGCAGCUAACGCAUUAAGCACUCCGCCUGGGGAGUACGACCGCAAGGUUGAAACUCAAAGGAAUUGACGGG